GAUCUCAUGAGAUUACGAUAAGAUUUAUCGGUUAUGGAUGGGGAUGCGUCUGAUUAGCUUGUUGGCGGGGUAACGGCCCACCAAGGCAACGAUCAGUAGGGGUUCUGAGAGGAAGGUCCCCACAUUGGAACUGAGACACGGUCCAAACUCCUACGGGAGGCAGCAGUGAGGAAUAUUGGUCAAUGGACGCAAGUCUGAACCAGCCAAGUAGCGUGCAGGAUGACGGCCCUAUGGGUUGUAACUGCUUUUAUAUGGGGAUAAAGUGGGGAACGUGUUCCUUUGCAGGUACCAUAUGAAUAAGGACCGGGCUAAUUCCGUGCCAGCAGCCGCGGUAAAU
rnacentral:rRNA from 1 species